UACGAAGGGGGCUAGCGUUGCUCGGAAUCACUGGGCGUAAAGCGCACGUAGGCGGCUUUCUAAGUCAGGGGUGAAAUCCUGGAGCUCAACUCCAGAACUGCGUCGGAUACUAUUCGGCUAGAGGUUUGGAGGGGGGACUGGAAUUCUCGGUGUAGCAGUGAAAUGCGUAGAUACCAGGAGGAACACCGAUGGCGAAGGCGGGUCUCUGGGCCGAUACUGACGCUGAGGAGCGAAAGCGUGGGGAGCGAACAGG
rnacentral:rRNA from 1 species